AUAUAAUUAAAGCACAUAUUUCAUUGAGAAGCUGGUACAUAUAUUCUUAAAUGUGCAAAAUCAUUGUUUAACAAAAUAAAAAAUACAAGUAUUAAGCCCAGAUGAACCACUUUAAACAGACAAUCUCAACCAAAAUCAAGCAACCGAUGACUAUUAUGAAUUUAUAAAAUAGAAUAAACAACUUGACUUACUAGGCUCUAUUCUAUUCAGAAGCGAAAAAAAAAAAAAAAGA
rnacentral:misc_RNA from 1 species